AAGGGCCAUUCGGGCACUCUGGUUUCGGACGCGCCAUCCGCACCCACCUGACGACUGCUCGCAAAUGGCGUCAGCC
rnacentral:sRNA from 1 species